rnacentral:lncRNA from 12 species
AUGCAGAUGAUAAGCAAUCUUUUUUUUUCUUUCUUUGAAACAUAUGGGUAAGAUGUGGAUUUAAGGAAGUGCGGACAUGAGGAUUUAAAAUUGGGUUUUUAAUUAGAUUGAGUUUGUUUAGAAGGUUCUUAGACUCAGAGUGAUCUACUGAAUAAAUUUAAAAAUAAAAGCAAGAUAAGAUUGGAUACCAUACAAAAAGAAACAGAGCAGUGAGAUUGAGAUUCAGAGAAAUUAGAACAAUUUGCUGUUACACAGGAAGUAGCUUUGCAAAAAAUAGUUUCUCCUAAAGUUACUGGCAUUUUUCCAAAAUCAGACACAAACAGUUCUUUGAAUUUCAAGGGAGAGGAUCUUGUAGGGUUAUGGUUUCAGUGAGUCCUUGGGAAAUAGGAAAACUUACCUUUCCAAACAGGGGGUGAGAUGGCUCCGGGAUAUCCAUCUGUAGUUAGGUAUCACCUUGUUAUAGGGAAUACUUUAAGACAGAGACAUGUUGAAAUGAGCAGUGGCUCAACCGAAGGUACGGGACCUACAGGUGAAGGUGGUUAAACAGUUUGGGAGAGAGAAAAGAGAAGCCAAACUAAGACCAGUAAAAGAAACUGAGACUGUAGAAGGGCCCUGGCUUAUAAGGAAACUAAGAAUGAGAAAGCUAUUACCAAAUAAGUGCAUUGUAAGGCCAUACAGCUCUAUUAGGUAUGCAAAUGCUAUUAAAUUCAUGGAGGCAUUUUAUGUAAUAUAGAAAUAUUGCAUGCUAUUAUUUAAAUCUAAUAUUAUCUCCCAUGUUUAAUUGGUAGUUUUCUGUAGGGAAGAUCAGCAGUAAAUGUUUAACCCCUAGUUGUCAGCAAGCCAGAGUCACUGAAAAAAAAAAUAGUUGGGUCCCUUUCAUUACAAAUAAGGAACUAGGUAAAACCUCAGAAUGCCACCACAAGAAGGAACUGGCAAGGAUGAGCUUCCUCCAUCAGGACUCCCUAUUAAGCAACGGGUCAGGGUGGAAUGCACACUGUCGCGGCGGCAUCUCCGGAGCCAUCCGGCCGUUCUCAGAUGCCCAACAAGGAUCCCGCUGCCAACACGCAUUCGGGUUCUGAAAAGGUGUCAGCCUUUCUUCCCAGCACUCAAGUCUUCAUCUUCCACAACCUUGGGAAGGUAUGAACGUUGGGGUCUUAACAGAUGAAUUAGACGAGAAGUUCAGCUGCAACACGUUCAAAUCCUUGAAACACAAAUUCAUCAAAACUUCUCUAGCCUUUCCUUGUUAGGGGCAAAAUAUUUCAUUCUAAAUAGCACAAGCUGGACAUUUAAUAGCAAUUUAAUUAUAAUUUAUCUCUUGAGAUGAAUGUACUUAACAAAUUUGACACUUGAUAAUUUUAAUCCGUUUGGGGAAAUUUAGUUUGAAUUGGCAAGUAGAAAUACAUUCAUCAUAUAUUGAUUCCCUUGUCACGGUAAUUCCUAAAUUUAAGUUCCCUCUUAGAGCUCUAAUUGGUCAUUCGAGGAGUGAUUCAUUACGAUCAUUGUUAUUAAUAUUUUUGUUGAAAAUGUUAGUAAAUUUCUCCCUGUAGAACAUUCUUGAAUGAAUAUAAGAUGCAAAUUUGUCCUUUUACUUUUGAAAAAAAAAUAGUUUUAAGAUCUAUCCUUUCAGGAUAAAUUUCAAGGGACUGGUAUCCAAGAUACAACAGACUUCUUGAAAUACAUGUCUGUAGACUUUACAGGUGAUGUCUGGAGGUCUGACAGUGAUAGGAGUUUCAAAAGUGGUCCAUACGGUUUGAGAGAGCAAGUCCUCACAGCUGAGUAUAGUUCAGAAGAAUUCUACUCUGCAUUUUAUAGCUUGGGGCAUAUUUGGAGAAAAUUGCUUUCUCCAAAUCUCAUCUCUCUAAGAAUAUGGGGGUCCUGGAAAGAACUUGAUAGUUUGUUAGGUAUAGUACUGAGUAAAAAUAAAUAAAUAAAUAAAUAAAUAAAUAAAUAAAUA